rnacentral:rRNA from 1 species
CAAUAGCGUAUAUUAAAGUUGUUGCAGUUAAAAAGCUCGUAGUUGAAUUUUUGCUUGCCGCCGAUGUCGGAACUUCCGUACGUUCGGCGGCGUGCAUCCUUGGGUGGAACCUGUGUGGCAUUAGGUUGUCGUGCAGGGGAUGCUCAUCGUUUACUGUGAAAAAAUUAGAGUGUUCAGAGCAGGCUUAUGCCGUUGAAUAUAUUAGCAUGGAAUAAUAAGAUAGGACCUUGGUACUAUUUUGUUGGUUUGCGCACCGAGGUAAUGAUUAACAGGGACAGUUGGGGGUAUUCGUAUUCCAUUGUCAGAGGUGAAAUUCUUGGAUUUCUGGAAGACGAACUACUGCGAAAGCAUUUACCAAGGAUGUUUNCAUUA